UGAAAUUAAAAUGAAAAAAUUCAGCAAAAAGUUCAACAGAACGUAGUCGCGAGUUUCGUGCACGUAAAAAACAAUUAUUGAACAAUCAAAAUAGAUGUUCAGAUAUAAGUGUCAAUGUGACUGAUGUAAUAAAUGACCACUCUCAGCAACAAAAUAGUGUUCCAACGGGAUAUAAUUUAGUAAAUAAUGAUUAUAACCCUCCAGUAGAUGUACAGCCAGAAAUUCCAUACUCACGGUUUCGUCGAAAUAAGUUUGCUCAUAAAGAAUUUAACGACAAGUUUUUAAACAAUAUGUUUGGUCAUAAGUGCUCCGUUUGUGAUCGAUUGUGGUUUAAGUUAGAUUUAAAAUCACCACGUGCUGAAGAUGAACAAUUAUUAAGGGUAAUAGUUGAAAAUUACAAUACAGUUGAAGAUAUUUUACUGUGCAACACGUGUUACCAAGCAAUUGGGAGGAAAGUGAUUCCUAUAAUGUCUACUUAUAACGGUUUUAAAUAUGAAAAAUACCUGAGGUUUUACCACCGCUUGACUUAAUUUCGGAAAGACUUGUCUCACCACGAGUUCCAUUUAUGCAAAUUCGACGGUUACGACAUGUUCAUGGGCAAUAUGGAAUUUAUGGACAAAUCAUUAAUGUACCAGUCGAGGUAAACAAUAUGGUAAAACUCUUACCCCGUAAUGUCGAUGAUGAUUACUGUAUUAACGUACACAUUAAAAGAAAAAUAAUACAUAGAUCAAGCUAUUUAAUGGGACUAGUUAAUAAAAGGACAAUUCGUGCAUGGCUUCAGUAUUUGCUUCAAACUCCACUUUAUUUAUUUUACGAUAUUAAAAUUGAUGAAAGCUUCUUCAACAAUAAUAGUAAUAAUGAAAUCGAUCUAGAAGAAAUGAGUGAAGAUAUACCGGUCGAAGAGAGUCUAACAGCACAACAGAAAACUCUACUUUGGAAUGAAGAUAUGUAUUUACGGAUCGCUCCUGGAGAAUAUAAUAUUCCCAAAAGUAUAAUUUUUGAUGAACAUGCCGAAGAACUUUCUUUCCCAUCGAUUUAUUUGGGUCAUUUCCGAAAAUUCAGAGAGGGAGUAAAUGC